UACGGAGGGUGCGAGCGUUGUCCGGAAUCACUGGGCGUAAAGGGCGCGUAGGCGGUCUGUUAAGCGUGCGGUGAAAGCCUGGGGCUCAACCCCAGGUCUGCCGUGCGAACUGGUGGACUUGAGCACUGUAGAGGCAGGUGGAAUUCCGGGUGUAGCGGUGGAAUGCGUAGAGAUCCGGAAGAACACCGGUGGCGAAGGCGGCCUGCUGGGCAGUUGCUGACGCUGAGGCGCGACAGCGUGGGGAGCAAACAGG
rnacentral:rRNA from 1 species